rnacentral:rRNA from 1 species
AGAGAUGUGUGAUGACGCAUAUCAAUAAGCGGAGGAAAAGAAACUAACAAGGAUUCCCUUAGUAACGGCGAGUGAAGCGGGAAGAGCUCAAAUUUGAAAUCUUCAAGGUUUUACCUUGACGAAUUGUAGUUUAAAGAAGUGUUUUCUGUUAGAGAGGUUGGUAAAAGUUCUUUGGAAUAGGACAUCAUAGAGGGUGAGAAUCCCGUAUUUGAUCCAUUACUUCCACUGUGUGAUACACUUUCAAAGAGUCGGAUUGUUUGGGAAUGCAGUCCAAAAUGGGUGGUAAAUUUCAUCUAAAGCUAAAUAUUGGCGAGAGACCGAUAGCGAACAAGUACCGUGAGGGAAAGAUGAAAAGAACUUUGAAAAGAGAGUUAAACAGUACGUGAAAUUGUCAAAAGGGAAGCGUUUGACACCAGUGUUGUUUUCUCGAAAAUCAAUUACGAAUGUUUUGUUUUUAAGAGUUAUGACUUCAUCGGCUUGCUCCUUUCUUUACGAAACUUUCUUAAUGCACUUUUCGGUUAACAAGUCAACAUCAAUUUCUUUUGUUGUAAAAGGGUAUGAGGAAGGUGGCUUUCUUUUCGGAGAAAGUGUUUAUAGCCUUGUACCUCUGCAAUCGGAGAGAUUGAGGUCUGCAGCGUAGAUCCUUCGGGGUUAGAUACAUUUGUGCUAAGUUAUAGCUUUUCAUAGACAACUUGUUGACUAUGAUUAAGUCAUUGUAGCUUACUCGCUUAUGCUAUUUUACCUACGCUUAGGAUGUUGAAGAUGUAGCACAUCAU